GUGAAUCAUCAAAUUUUUGAACGCAAAUUGCACUCUCUGGGAUGCGGGAGAGUAUGCGUGUGUGAGGGUCAGUUUAAAUAAAAAUCGGUGUGGGUGAUGCCUUUGGGGGUGACGCACCGGAAAUGGGUGGGCUUGACUGCGGUUAAGUGACCUAAAAUUGUGCAUGAUUUGUUGCGAACGUAUUUAAAUGAUUGUACGUACGUGUGCGAAAUCGAAUACUAGGGGGGGUAAGCCUCAUGAUUCGCGC
rnacentral:misc_RNA from 1 species